rnacentral:rRNA from 1 species
AACGAACGCUGGCGGCAUGCCUAACACAUGCAAGUCGAACGAGACCUUCGGGUCUAGUUGCGCACGGGUGCGUAACGCGUGGGAACCUGCCCUUAGGUUCGGAAUAACUCCCCGAAAGGGGUGCUAAUACCGGAUAACGUCCUCUGAUCAAAGAUUUAUCGCCUUUGGAUGGGCCGGCGUUGGAUUAGCUAGUUGGUAGGGUAAGAGCCUACCAAGGCGACGAUCCAUAGCUGGUCUGAGAGGAUGAUCAGCCACACUGGGACUGAGACACGGCCCAGACUCCUACGGGAGGCAGCAGUGGGGAAUAUUGGACAAUGGGCGAAAGCCUGAUCCAGCAAUGCCGCGUGAGUGAUGAAGGCCUUAGGGUUGUAAAGCUCUUUUACCCGGGAUGAUAAUGACAGUACCGGGAGAAUAAGCUCCGGCUAACUCCGUG